UCGCUUUGGCUAUCGUUAAGAACAAACUUGUCUUUUCUUUUUACUUUUAUAGUGACUUUAAAAGAACUUUAUCCUACUGGGUAGAGGUGGGCCAGCGGCUGCAUCUAGACCUCCCUAAAACUCCGCCAUCCCUCUCCCAAAGUCUAUCUGACAAGAGGGGACCAUCCAAACUGCCCAGCACAGCUCGGGAAAGGACAAGAACCGCCCGCUAGGGCUGGGAGCGCGGGACGCAGGUGAAAGAUAGGAGAUGGAGCUGGAGCCAAGCCGGGACUGACCGGAGCUGGCCUCUUCCCAAUGGCUUUCCGCCGGCUCCACACCGGGUCGCCACUCCGACUCCAGCGGCUGGUUCAGGAUCGGUGGCUUUUGGCCGUCCGGCCGGAAACAAGCGCCCGUUUCCGGCCGGAGCGGGUUGGCGGUGACACCCUAGCCGCCCCCGGGCCUCCUCCCGCCCCGCGCGGCCAGCCCCGCCCCGCCCCGUCCCGCCCCGCCCCGCCCCUCCCCGCAGCAGCCCCGCCCUCAGGACCGCUUUGGGGCUGUGGCCGGUUUGGCGCUUGCCCGGCGCGUGACCCCGCGCGUUCUUGGCUCGCAUCCCUGAUCCCCUAGGCUGAAGCACUUUUGAGCGGGAGCUGGGAGCUCGGCAUGGACUGUUAAGACUUUGGGGUCGCAUCAGUUGGCGCCAGCCCUAAGGGAAGAAAUGGAGACCAGCGGAGUAGCUUUCGAAAGGCGAGAAGGAUAAAAAUACUUGAGAAGAAGGUUGAAAUUCUAGUUACUCCACGCAAUCCUGGACCAACCAGAGUGAAUUGAACAUCGCUUCUUACAAACCAGUCCCACCCAGUUAUGCAUUCCCCUUGUUCUUUCACUCUUGAUGUGAGCCUACCCUUUUCUGUAUUUACUUGCAUAACAAUGACUCCCUGGUGACAUCCCUGCCACAGUCAGUAAAAGUUUUUUAGUACUUUUCA